GAUGAAGAACGUAGCAAAAUGCGAUAAGUAAUGUGAAUUGCAGAAUUCAGUGAAUCAUCGAAUCUUUGAACGCACAUUGCGCCCGCCAGUAUUCUGGCGGGCAUGCCUGUUCGAGCGUCAUUUCAACCCUCAAGCCCUCGGGUUUGGUGUUGGGGAUCGGCGAGCCUUUCUGGCAAGCCGGCCCCGAAAUCUAGUGGCGGUCUCGCUGCAGCCUCCAUUGCGUAGUAGUAAAACCCUCGCAACUGGAACGCGGCGCGGCCAAGCCGUUAAACCCCCAACUUCUGAAUGUUGACCUCGGAUCAGGUAGGAAUACCCGCUGAACUUGAGCAUAUCAAUAAGCGGAGGA
rnacentral:misc_RNA from 1 species